CUAACGGUCGUCUCGUCAAACACUUGAAAACUAACGAAAAACCACCUCCACACUAAAUUCGGAGCUCUCAUCAUUUUUACUGAGUCUUCCACCACCAGCAAAUCCGCAACAAUCACACCUGUUCUUGUUCUGAUUAAUGCUCUGCUGUUUUCUGUUUCAGUUUCGAUUUCCAUUUUGUUUUCUCAUCUGGGUUGUCAACGUUCAAAUCUCUCUCUCUCUCUCUCUCUCUCUCUCUCUCUCAUUUUUAGUUUAAACCUGCAUCGACAUGAGCAUCAGCGACUUCCUCUCCUCGUUAUUCGUCUGUGACUUUCUGUAUCUUUCUCAUCUCACAUUGGAUCUGUAAGAUGACCGUGAAGGGCGGCACAAGCCAGGCGUGUGCUGCGUGCAAGUACCAAAGGAGGAAGUGCGCGGCCGAUUGUCCUCUUGCACCAUAUUUCCCUCCAGACCAGCCCAAGACCUUCCAGAAUGCACACAGACUUUUCGGUGUAAGCAACAUCCUCAAGAUAUUGAAGCAGCUGAGCCCAACUCAAAAGAACGACGCCAUGUGUUCCAUCAUUUUCCAAUCCAACAUGCGCGAGAAAUUCCCUGUCCAUGGCUGCUAUGGUAUCGUCUGUGAAUUCAGGUUCCAGAUUGAGCAGCUCCAGCAGGAACUCCUUGCCGUCCAGGCACAACUUGCCUAUUAUCAACACCACCACCUAUCCUCUGGCUCUCCCCCACACCAUUCUCCAUCUUCACAAUUACAAUUGGGUAUGGCUACCUCGCCGUCACCCAACAAUACUCUUUCACUUUUCCACCAUCAGCCUUUCAAUGCUAUGCCCAUCAAUGUAAACAAUGCCAAUAAUGCUUACAAUACAUCUGUUUACGACGAAUCCAAGGACAACAUAGUAGUGAAUCAUAUGUUGAUUCAGAAUCAGAAUCCUUAUAACAACAUUGCAGCCAACACUAUCAGCAACAAUAAUUCAGCAACCGCAGCAAGUCAAUCCCCAUUCCUUGUCUCACAAGCACUUCCUAUCAUACAAGAACCAACAGAAGCUCCACGAGACUAUGAUGAAAUCCCUCCAUUUUUUGACACCAUUGAUGAUAGACAAUCUUACAUAGAUUCCAAAGAGGCCUAUGAUUCAAGCAGCUCAGAGGAUUCAUUAAAGGGUACGACACAACCGAUCGAGCAUGUUCAAGAGAAUGAACUGAAGAGUGCAGCUGCAUGUUUCAGGUUCACCACCAGUGUCUAAUUGACGGAAUAGAGCAACCAAGUGAGAAUUGUCAGAGUGGACUCAACAAUUUUAAAUAAGUUACUUUUCUAUCCAAAAUGGCGACCCGAAAUUCGUUCCAAUACUGAAAGAGGAGAUGGAUGGAGAUAUUAAAUGCCAAAGUCAACCUAGAGGGGAGAGAAUAGAGAUCAUUCAGAGUUCUAAUAUGACAGAAUUUAGUCAUUCCUUGGCUGGCAGGCAAGAUAGGCAAUGCAACAGCAGUAUAGCACCAGCAAUGAGUUGUUGCAGGAAAUAAAAGGUCUCUACAGAGUUCAAAUUCAAAUGAUAUAGCUACAAAUGCCUUUGUUUCCUCCCACAUUCGAUUGCUGGAGUUGUUAUAUUGGCUAGCUGCAGCAAUAGUAGAGGCAACAGCACUGGAACACCACCACCACCACUACCAAGGCACCACCAGCAUAAAUGAAGAAAGCAACGCAAAAGUUUUGUAAAUUUAUCAGAAGAGCUGCUGGAAUCCCUGGAAGUGGAGUAUCAGUGGUAGGCUUACUCUAGUUCUCAUUUCAUUUACUUUAUGUGCAACAGUUGAUACCAGAAUGUUUCACAUAAAUGCAGAAGAGAUGCAUACCUUUGUCUGGAACUUGAUCUUUGGUGGACUGAAGGGAUAAUCUUCAGGGAUCUCGAUAAAGAGAAAAUAGACCCCAUCCUCAAUUAGGGUACCGGGAGGCCCCAUGGUUGCUGUUUGACCCUUAAAAAGAUAUAAUCACCAUCAAGCCCACAGCUACAGUGAGUGAAGGGAUUCAUAUUUAUUACUUCAAUCUCCUGCUUGAGUCUCUGUGUUGCAGGCUAGUAUUUUAUCAGUGGAACAUGUGUUUAGUAAGUUGCAGAACUUGAUUGAGAAAUUUCUGGAUCCGCUGCAGAGCAGUAAACUCCGAAUGAGAACAAAACAUGAGAAAAGCGCAAUGGCUGUAUUAAUUCUCACAGGGGGAAGAAAGA